rnacentral:rRNA from 1 species
GACGAAGGGGGCUAGCGUUGUUCGGAAUUACUGGGCGUAAAGGGCGCGUAGGCGGCCUUCUAAGUCGAACGUGAAAUCCCCGGGCUCAACCCGGGAACUGCGUCCGAGACUGGAAGGCUCGAAUCCGGGAGAGGGAUGUGGAAUUCCAGGUGUAGCGGUGAAAUGCGUAGAUAUCUGGAGGAACAUCGGUGGCGAAGGCGGCAUCCUGGACCGGUAUUGACGCUGAGGCGCGAAAGCCAGGGGAGCAAAGCGGG